AGGACGAACGCUGGCGGCGUGCUUAACACAUGCAAGUCGAGCGGUAAGGCUCCUUCGGGAGUACACGAGCGGCGAACGGGUGAGUAACACGUGAGCAAUCUGCCCUUCUCAUCGGAAUAACCAUUGGAAACGAUGGCUAAUGCCGAAUAUGACCUCGGAACACAUGUUCUGAGGUGGAAAGCUCCGGCGGAGAAGGAUGAGCUCGCGGCCUAUCAGCUUGUUGGUGUGGUAAUGGCUCACCAAGGCAUUGACGGGUAGCCGGCCGUGAGGAGGGUGACCGGCCACACGUGGGACUGAGACACGGCCCAGACUCCGUACGGGAGCAGCAGGUGGGGAAUAGUGGAACAAUGGGACGAAAGCCUGAUCCAGACAACGCCGCGUGAGGGAUGACGCCGUUCGGUUAGUAAACCUCUUUA
rnacentral:rRNA from 1 species